rnacentral:rRNA from 1 species
CGAAACUGCGAAUGGCUCAUUAUAUAAGUUAUCGUUUAUUUGAUAGCACCUUGCUACUUGGAUAACCGUGGUAAUUCUAGAGCUAAUACAUGCUGAAAAUCCCGACUUCGGAAGGGAUGUAUUUAUUAGAUUAAAAACCAAUGCCCCGCAAGGGGCUCUCUGGUGAAUCAUGAUAACUGCUCGAAUCGCAUGGCCUUGUGCCGGCGAUGGCUCAUUCAAAUUUCUUCCCUAUCAACUUUCGAUGUUUGGGUAGUGGCCAAACAUGGUGGCAACGGGUAACGGAGGGUUAGGGCUCGGCCCCGGAGAAGGAGCCUGAGAAACGGCUACUACAUCCAAGGAAGGCAGCAGGCGCGCAAAUUACCCAAUCCCGACACGGGGAGGUAGUGACAAUAAAUACUGAUACAGGGCUCUUUUGGGUCUUGUAAUUGGAAUGAGUACAAUUUAAAUCCCUUAACGAGGAACAAUUGGAGGGCAAGUCUGGUGCCAGCAGCCGCGGUAAUUCCAGCUCCAAUAGCGUAUAUUAAAGUUGUUGUGGUUAAAAAGCUCGUAGUUGAACCUUGGGCCUGGCUGGCCGGUCCGCCUCACCGCGUGCACUGGUCCGGCCGGGCCUUUCCCUCCGUGGAACCCCAUGCCCUUCACUGGGUGUGGCGGGGAAACGGGACUUUUACUUUGAAAAAAUUAGAGUGCUCCAGGCAGGCCUAUGCUCGAAUACAUUAGCAUGGAAUAAUGAAAUAGGACGUGCGGUUCUAUUUUGUUGGUUUCUAGGACCGCCGUAAUGAUUAAUAGGGACAGUCGGGGGCAUCAGUAUUCAAUUGUCAGAGGUGAAAUUCUUGGAUUUAUUGAAGACUAACUACUGCGAAAGCAUUUGCCAAGGAUGUUUUCAUUAAUCAGGAACGAAAGUUAGGGGAUCGAAGACGAUCAGAUACCGUCGUAGUCUUAACCAUAAACUAUGCCGACUAGGGAUCGGACGGUGUUACUUUUGACCCGUUCGGCACCUUACGAGAAAUC